UGAUGGACUACAGUUCCCAGAAUUCACUCGUCCACCCGCCUGAGCCAACUUGCCCGCGACUCAGAGUGUGUCUGGACUCCGCUUCCUCCAAUGCCAAAGGAAAAUGUCUAUAAUCUCACUCUUCAGCGGGAAGCGUUGGACUCCGCGGUGGUCCUUGACUACACACACCGCAGUGCCCACCGGGAACGUAUUCCAUAUCUCUGAGCGCCUGGUGGGGAAUGUGGACUGUGACCCUGACUGGAUGAAAUGUAUCAUCAGCAUGGAUUCUGUGAUAAAUUACAAGAUACAAACUCAAAAGGAACUGCUUUCUAUGUGCCUCAUAUUUUAAUGUUUCUCCCCUUUGUGAAUGCUUAGGUGAGACUGUAGUCAUGAAAACUGAGUAAAGACUUUAUUACACACA
ensembl:lncRNA ZNF230-DT ZNF230 divergent transcript